UGCCAGACUCCUACGGGAGGCAGCAGUGGGGAAUAUUGCACAAUGGGGGAAACCCUGAUGCAGCGACGCCGCGUGAGUGAAGAAGUAUUUCGGUAUGUAAAGCUCUAUCAGCAGGGAAGAUAAUGACGGUACCUGACUAAGAAGCCCCGGCUAACUACGUGCCUGCAGCCGCGGUAAUACGUAGGGGGCAAGCGUUAUCCGGAUUUACUGGGUGUAAAGGGAGCGUAGGUGGCAGGGCAAGUCAGAUGUGAAAACCCGGGGCUCAACUCCGGGAUUGCAUUUGAAACUGUGUGACUGGAGUGCAGGAGAGGUAAGCGGAAUUCCUGGUGUAGCGGUGAAAUGCGUAGAUAUCAGGAGGAACACCAGUGGCGAAGGCGGCUUACUGGACUGUAACUGACGUUGAGGCUCGAAAGCGUGGGGAGCAAACAGGAUUAGAUACCCCAGUAGC
rnacentral:rRNA from 1 species